rnacentral:rRNA from 1 species
UGGUGGAGUGAUUUGUCUGGUUAAUUCCGUCAACGAACGAGACCUUAACCUGCUAAAUAGCUACGCGUAGCUUCGGUUACGUGGGCAACUUCUUAGAGGGACUUUGCGUGUCUAACGCAAGGAAGUUUGAGGCAAUAACA